rnacentral:rRNA from 1 species
GACGAACGCUGGCGGCGUGCCUAAUACAUGCAAGUUGAGCGAUGAAGAUUGGUGCUUGCACCAAUUUGAAGAGCAGCGAACGGGUGAGUAACGCGUGGGGAAUCUGCCUUUGAGCGGGGGACAACAUUUGGAAACGAAUGCUAAUACCGCAUAACAACUUUAAACAUAAGUUUUAAGUUUGAAAGAUGCAAUUGCAUCACUCAAAGAUGAUCCCGCGUUGUAUUAGCUAGUUGGUGAGGUAAAGGCUCACCAAGGCGAUGAUACAUAGCCGACCUGAGAGGGUGAUCGGCCACAUUGGGACUGAGACACGGCCCAAACUCCUACGGGAGGCAGCAGUAGGGAAUCUUCGGCAAUGGACGAAAGUCUGGCCGAGCAACGCCGCGUGAGUGAAGAAGGUUUUCGGAUCGUAAAACUCUGUUGGUAGAGAAGAACGUUGGUGAGAGUGGAAAGCUCAUCAAGUGACGGUAACUACCCAGAAAGGGACGGCUAACUACGU